GACGAACGCUGGCGGCGUGCUUAACACAUGCAAGUCGAACGGAAAGGCCCUGCUUUUGUGGGGUGCUCGAGUGGCGAACGGGUGAGUAACACGUGAGUAACCUGCCCUUGACUUUGGGAUAACUUCAGGAAACUGGGGCUAAUACCGGAUAGGAGCUCCUGCUGCAUGGUGGGGGUUGGAAAGUUUCGGCGGUUGGGGAUGGACUCGCGGCUUAUCAGCUUGUGGGUGGGGUGGUGGCUUACCAAGGCUUUGACGGGUAGCCGGCCUGAGAGGGUGCCCGGCACCUUGCGACGGGCUAUCUGGCCCUGACACCGGAGAGGGGGAGGAGGGGACAAUAAUGCGCCAGGCGGGGACCGCUGCAGCAGCGCCGGUGGGUGGGUGCGGACGGCAUUGUGGUUGUAGUCCGCUUCCGGCUGGUACGCGGCGUGUGUGACGGUGAUGGGGACAAACGCACCGGCUCACUACGUGCCAGCAGCCGCGGUAAUAGUUGACGACAACUGUCGCAAC
rnacentral:rRNA from 1 species